CAUGCCUAACACAUGCAAGUCGAACGAAGACCUUCGGGUCUAGUGGCGCACGGGUGCGUAACGCGUGGGAAUCUGCCCUUCGGUUGGGAAUAACACAGAGAAAUUUGUGCUAAUACCUUAUAAUGUCUUCGGACCAAAGAUUUAUCGCCGAGGGAUGAGCCCGCGUAGGAUUAGGUAGUUGGUGGGGUAAUGGCCUACCAAGCCGACGAUCCUUAGCUGGUCUGAGAGGAUGAUCAGCCACACUGGGACUGAGACACGGCCCAGACUCCUACGGGAGGCAGCAGUGGGGAAUAUUGGACAAUGGGCGAAAGCCUGAUCCAGCAAUGCCGCGUGAGUGAUGAAGGCCUUAGGGUUGUAAAGCUCUUUUACCAGGGAUGAUAAUGACAGUACCUGGAGAAUAAGCUCCGGCUAACUCCGUGCCAGCAGCCGCGGUAAUACGGAGGGAGCUAGCGUUGUUCGGAAUUACUGGGCGUAAAGCGCGCGUAGGCGGUUACUCAAGUCAGAGGUGAAAGCCCGGGGCUCAACCCCGGAACUGCCUUUGAAACUAGGUAACUAGAAUCUUGGAGAGGUCAGUGGAAUUCCGAGUGUAGAGGUGAAAUUCGUAGAUAUUCGGAAGAACACCAGUGGCGAAGGCGACUGACUGGAC
rnacentral:rRNA from 1 species